rnacentral:rRNA from 1 species
AUCNGGCUACCAUGCAGUCGAGGGGCAGCAUGAACUUAGCUUGCUAAGUUUGAUGGCGACCGGCGCACGGGUGAGUAACACGUAUCCAACCUGCCGAUGACUCGGGGAUAGCCUUUCGAAAGAAAGAUUAAUACCCGAUGGCAUAGUUCUUCCGCAUGGUAGAACUAUUAAAGNAUUUCGGUCAUCGAUGGGGAUGCGUUCCAUUAGGUUGUUGGCGGGGUAACGGCCCACCAAGCCUUCGAUGGAUAGGGGUUCUGAGAGGAAGGUCCCCCACAUUGGAACUGAGACACGGUCCAAACUCCUACGGGAGGCAGCAGUGAGGAAUAUUGGUCAAUGGACGAGAGUCUGAACCAGCCAAGUAGCGUGAAGGAUGACUGCCCUAUGGGUUGUAAACUUCUUUUAUACGGGAAUAAAGUGAGGCACGUGUGCCUUUUUGUAUGUACCGUAUGAAUAAGGAUCGGCUAACUCCGUGCCAGCAGCCGCGGUAAUACGGAGGAUCCGAGCGUUAUCCGGAUUUAUUGGGUUUAAAGGGAGCGUAGGCGGACGCUUAAGUCAGUUGUGAAAGUUUGCGGCUCAACCGUAAAAUUGCAGUUGAUACUGGGUGUCUUGAGUACAGUAGAGGCAGGCGGAAUUCGUGGUGUAGCGGUGAAAUGCUUAGAUAUCACGAAGAACUCCGAUUGCGAAGGCAGCUUGCUGGACUGUAACUGACGCUGAUGCUCGAAAGUGUGGGUAUCAAACAGGAUUAGAUACCCUGGUAGUCCACACAGUAAACGAUGAAUACUCGCUGUUUGCGAUAUACAGUAAGCGGCCAAGCGAAAGCGUUAAGUAUUCCACCUGGGGAGUACGCCGGCAACGGUGAAACUCAAAGGAAUUGACGGGGGCCCGCACAAGCGGAGGAACAUGUGGUUUAAUUCGAUGAUACGCGAGGAACCUUACCCGGGCUUGAAUUGCAACUGAAUGAUGUGGAGACAUNUCAGCCGCAAGGCAGUUGUGAAGGUGCUGCAUGGUUGUCGUCAGCUCGUGCCGUGAGGUGUCGGCUUAAGUGCCAUAACGAGCGCAACCCUUAUCGAUAGUUACCAUCAGGUUAUGCUGGGGACUCUGUCGAGACUGCCGUCGUAAGAUGUGAGGAAGGUGGGGAUGACGUCAAAUCAGCACGGCCCUUACGUCCGGGGCUACACACGUGUUACAAUGGGGGGUACAGAAGGCAGCUACACGGCGACGUGAUGCUAAUCCCGAAAGCCUCUCUCAGUUCGGAUUGGAGUCUGCAACCCGACUCCAUGAAGCUGGAUUCGCUAGUAAUCGCGCAUCAGCCACGGCGCGGUGAAUACGUUCCCGGGCCUUGUACACACCGCCCGUCAAGCCAUGAAAGCCGGGGGUACCUGAAGUGCGAACCGCAAGAGCGCCCUAGUAA